CCCUUGCUCCUGUUCGCUAAGGGGUACCGUUUUGUUGUGCAGAGUGUAUGCAGCUUGCUGCAUCAUGAGAAAGAUUCGCUGCGUCCAAAGUAAAAGGUGAAUAAAUAUCACGCAUCGCUCUACAACGUCUUUUGCUACCUACUCCAAUUGAUAUUCAUGUAUCGGUUUAAUUCAGUUAUAUCCGAAUGUUAUUUUUUCACAUUUCCGUUUCAGAAUAACAUUUUCCUUUUUCAAUGAUUCGCUUGUUGUUUUAACUAUCCAAAUAGAGGAGUUACGUGAAAUAUAAACAUCGAUGCUACUGGACUGUAUAGUAAAAUUCGUGCCAUCAAAAAUCAAUGAUCGAAUGAGAAUCGUUUGAAAAGAAUUUCGCGAAAAUCGAAGUUCGAAAUAUAAAUACGCGUAUAUCUGAAUGUUUGGUGGAAAGGUGAAAUUUUAUACGCAAGUAACAACACUGGAGGAUGAGCUUGUUUUCUUCAACCUAAUGGAAAUCACGAAAUAUUAGGUUGUCCGAAAAGUGUCUUUCUUUUACAGACACGUCUUUUACAACGACGCGUUUCUAUACAAACAUGAAACCUAAUCCGUCGAACGUUGUGAUCUUUAUUUUGAUAGAACAAAAUGGGUCAUACGUAAUUCGAUAAAAUAAUAUAAAACGGAAAAUCUUGUGCGUCCAUUAUUUCCUUAUAAAACGAAAGAAACUUUUCGCAUCACCUGAUACAUGUGACGACGUAUUUAGCGACAAAAUUCCUGAUAUUGCUGUAUACAAAUUCUUCAAAUCCUUGAAUAUUAUUUAAACCAGAACACCAUAUUUUUAUUCAUAUAUAUAUAUAUAUAUAUAUAUGUAUCUCCCACGAGUGGAAGGUAACGUUAGCCAGUGCUUGCACGCUAUUAGAAACUCCCAAGCCCGAAUGCUCACCCUGAACACGCCACUGAUCCAAACUGAAAUCGUUCACUCACGACACGCGGUGAAUUAUAAAUCACGGUUGCCCGAGUGGUGCGAGCGGAGCGUCCAUUCAUCGAAAACCGGGAUGGCGUUCACGCCUCGAAUGUGAAAUCGAAAACUGGGACGGCAGAAAUUCGGGCCGUUCCUCCGCUAUCAGAAAAUCUCUGUCGCCCGAAGCGGAGAAACACUAGUGGGACAGCCUUCAUGUACAAUCCGUCGUUAUAUCGUUCCACAAUUGACAAGCUAUCGGCUCUUCAAUUUACCUUGUGAAACGAUCGCGCGAUAGAAAUCCGCCAGGGAGACCUCACUGAUGUAACCGGAGGAACAGAUGCUUCUUCAAUUUUUCUAGGAACUUUCUCGAGAUGAGAAGCUAACAAAUAGGUUCUUCAAUCUCUACACGUCUACCUAUAGACUCGCGGAGAUGUCGCUUUUUAUUUAUUUAUCGAAUAAUUUAUAGAUUCUAUAAAUUAUCUAGCGAUAAUCUCGACAUGUGAAUACCGCCGACAGGAUUUUUGAUUUCACUCGUUUUUCGAUUGCUUUUAGUAGCUUUUUUUUUUGCAAAAAGUGUGUUUGACGUGGCUUCCAUUGAUUUGAUAAUUUAUAAGCUCUAAAAAGAUAGUAUUAGAAAAAUAAUGUUCAAGCUGAAUCUGGAAAUUGAAAUCUUGAUAUUUGUUGUCUUAUGUGAACAAAGGGAGAAUUUAAGAGAAUUUCUCGUAUUGCAUAACAAUCGAGAGUUAAAUCUCCUCUUUAUGGAUUCAUUUUUUAGAUUCUCACCGAGACGUUUUCUGUAGGAGGAAAAAUAGAGAGGAUAAAACGAGAGGCGGGUGUUUUCCUAGGGGAAUUAUCGUUGCUUGAAAAUUCAUAAAUCGAGACAACAAAAAGUGGUUUCCAUGGACAAAAGAGGAUUCCGGAGACGGUGUUAUACAUCUCGGAUGGGAAUAUCGGUUAUACCUGUAAUUUUCCUCGCGAAUAAGGUCCCGAGGCUGAGGCGAGAAAAUUGCUUGCGAAAAGAAUUUCGUUCUCGGUGACGAUCCUCAUCUAAUUUCGUCGAUGAGACGCGCGCCAUUCUCCCUUACGCUCGCGCGAGGAAUUCGAUUUGCUCGCGCAGAAAGGGGAGACGAAACGAGAGAAAAAAAAACAAGAAAGAAGCACGAGAAGAAAGUAUAAAUAAGUAAGCAUGCGAGAAACUCAAGAGAGAAAACCGAUCUUCUCUUUCAUAUCAAUCUCUGUGCAUCGAUUAGACUAUCGAGUGCCGUGUUACUUGAUCACAUACUGAGAACUUGAUUUUUUAUGUAACUAGAAUAAUCUGUGCGUAGAAGAUAAAAUUAAUCGCUGUCUACUCGAUAUAGAUAUAAUUUCUUACGAAUUUCAGCUUCGACGUUACAAAUGAACAUUCUGAGGAACAAUGCUAACGAGGAACGAGUAUCAGAUCAAACUUGAUGAUUCAAAUCAAACACAGAAUUUCUCGUAUCUGUGUAUCUGUGUGGAAACUAAAAGUCGACAAUCUGAUGACGAAUAUUACAAAAGAAGACGCGUCAGAGCAGAAUUAAUGAAUCACUAUCGACAAACACCCCAUUCAGCAGUCUCAAUUCAAAACAUUUAAUCGAAAAAAGCAAAGUCCAUGUGAAAGUUCUCGUUUCACGAUGUACGAACGUAGUUUGGAAACGAGAUCGAGAUCCAACAAGAUAUGGAGUGGAAAGAAGGCCACGAAUAUCGUUUCAUCGUCGUGAUAUCCCAUCUCUAUUCAUAGAGAGACAAUGGAACGCGAGGUUCAAACAGCUUAACAUAAUGAUCAACGCUCGAACUACGCGACGCCGAAUCGGUAAAUCGCGUCUGAACGCCUUGAACUCCUUUAAUCCGAGUAAUUGGUCGAGAUCUGGUUAAUUGGAUUGAGCGAGUUCGCGAAGCGUCGGAAAUUUGCGAGAUUCUUCUUGAUUUGAGAUGUUUGAGGAUGUUGAAGGAUAUUGGGCUCUUGUAAUAUCGUGAUUCUUUUAGGAAUUCUCAGGAAUCUGGAUAAGAAAUUUUCCUCGGAUCAAGCAUAAUCGGCGUCCAUUUAUUUCAAACUGCUUGCAAGACUAAAGUAAAAUAAAAAAAGAGAAUAAAAAAAUAAUAUCGAAUGCAAUUUUGAUACUGUACGUUUGAUUCUUUUUAUUCUUCGAUAGGACUCGUCGAUUCCGAAUUCGAGAAAUUUUCUCUCAAACUAUCUAGUUAACGAUAUUUUUUACUUGAUAACGAUCUAUUACAAUUUAAUUUUUGUUAACAAAAAAUCUGUAUAUGGAUGAUCUUAAAGAAUCCUAAAAUACCCGGUGUAUCAAGGAAACGUGAUCAAAGAAAGACCAAAAUGACGAUGAAGAAUAAGCCCGGAUAUGUGUCAGCAGGUGUAUAAAGUCUCUGUGUGCGUACUGUGUUAGAGAGUGUAACGACAGCGGACGAACAAUGCGUUAACGGGAAUUAAGAGCACGGUGUUAACAAACUGUGCAAUCGUUGGACGAUAUACACACGAGAAUCGGAGAUUACAUAUUUGUCGUAGCAAACAGCAGUGGAACGACGAGUCUCAGUGUUCAGAGAAAGGAUCUACUAAAAGUUAGCCUAGGUAACCUCGGGAUAGUCGCAUCCGACAAAGCAUGACCUUUCCAGUCACAUUCCCCUCUUAAAUAUUUCAAGUAUUCCGCUUAUAUCGAUACGAUAUCUCGUCGAGUAAAAUAUGCUGUCUAUUCCUAGACGAUAACAACGUUUACAAAGUAGUAUCGAGGCUAAACCUCAGUCUCGCUGUCGUUGAACCGCCCAGCGUUACAAAUUCCAACAAUCUUAAACGCAAUUUCUUUUCUAGUUGAAUUCGUAAUUUCAUUAUCAUACAUCUGGUUAUCGUGUUGUGUUGCAGAAACAUUUGCCAAAAUCUAGGUACAGAGCUUCUCAAUAAGACUGAAUAACAGAGUUUCUUGUUAAUAAGCUACUUGAGUAGUAAAGAAUAUGACAGCGUAUUACACGAUGUAUUACACGAUACAAAGUGAUUGCACUUCGAACGAGUAGAAGUUUUCACGAUAAUCAGAAUAUUUCGAUGAAGAGAUGCUUCUAAUGCAGUUGCAUAGUCUUGUUAGUCAGAUACUUGUUUGGAUAAAAAUUUGAAGUGCUAUUUCAGUGAAAAGAAUUAUUUCAAUGAAAUGCUUGAAUAUCGAUGAAAAAUAAUAAUUUUUCCAACACUCGCUAGACUUUCCUACGUCAAGGAGAUAUAACGGAAAAGAUGAAUCGGAAGAAAUCUCACAUUCGACUCAUCGUUGAAUUUCAUGUUGAAUUUCUCGAGCCUCGGCAUCUUUAAUUCAUAAAUUUACGUACAACAGGGUGGUUAACCAGACAUUAAGAAAUUAACUUAACACAGCCCUCGAAGUAGGGCACCUCUUUCAGAGAGAUAAUCUUUUCUCCCCCGAAGCGAAGCUUAAUGAUUGCGUAGAGGUGGCGGUCACGAAGAAAUUCUUGGACGUUCCUUUAGAUAAGCGUGCAAAGCGAGUUAACGGGGUAUGAAGCUCGAGAGUCUUUUCUUUUCUUCCUUAUUUUUUCUAUUUUUCUAUUUUUUUUUUUUUUUUUUUUUUUUUCUAGCUAUACGAAACGAGUCAUCCGUUCUAGAAAAGAAGCGAGUCUCGGAUAUUGAAUUUCGUGCAGUGAAUUUCAUAUCGGAGCAGAGGAAAUUCCUUUACUAUUUUUUGAUUUGUAGUCGACCGUACGGUGAAUAUUAACGAGGCAUUAAAGGUUCCGUUAGCAGACUGGGUCAUGCUUUUUAACCUGAUAAACUCACUUUUCUCUACGAAUCGCGCAAACGAAUCUUAAUUGCUCUGUAUCAUGUGAAAGAAUAUCGAACGAUAUUACGAAGGUAGAUGUCUGUUAAUUUGCUUCCCGAUAAUGCUGAUUUUUAUUUGAAUACGUAGUACACCGCAUAAUAUAUUAUUACGUACGGUUGCUCACGGAAGUAUUUGCACGUUUGUAGAAGAUUGUUUAUCGCGACCGUUGUUUCUUCAUCGACGUCACACAACCGUCAACUACCAAACGCACCCAUUAUCCUUCUCAUUACGUGUCAAUCUCUAACCAACAUUUUUAUUCUACCAAAAAUCCACCUAAGUAAAACAUCGAAUAACGUAUUAUUUCGUAUGAUCAAUCUCGUCUAUCCUCUCUGGAAAAUUCGCAUUUCGUCCAUCCAAAAGCUGAUUUAUCCUGCGUCCUACAUCACCUAUUAUCCGUAACACAUAUCCGCCAUUAAACAUUCCAAAUCUCUCUAGGAAGAUCUAAAAUCCCGAAAAAAGCAUGCAAUCUUUCUCUCUCGCAAGAGAGAAGAAGCAUCCAUGACCUUUGCGCGUGGCUCGUCCUUCGAUUAUUUCGGCGAUGCGAUGGUCCGCGUCGGCGUCGUACGUUUUCUACGCGGACAAUAAAUGGAACGUGGCUUUCGAGGCUGGUUUUCGCAGGUCCGCUAGUAGGGAGCCGUUUCUACGAGGGGAUCUCGUCGCAAGAGAGGAAGAAGGGACGAACACACACACACACACACACACACACACACAUGUACACAGAGAAGAGAAAGAGAAAGAGGCAGAGAAUUUUGGCACGAUGCCAUGGUUGCUACAAAGGCUUGCUCUCUCGAGCGCGGAGCUACCGUGUGUUCCGGAGGGUUUCCAAAGGCAGGGUCCCGCCUCGAUGCUCCUCAGCCUCUCUCUAGCCUUUAGUUCUGUCUUUCUCUCUGCUGUGCCAACCUACCCAGUCGACCCUAACCUCCAAAUCGGCCGGGUCUGGAUAUCCCUCCCUAGGCGCACGUCGGAACAAAAACCUGCGACUUAGAGGCUGCAUGAGAAACGUGGCGAGCCUUCUGGCCCUGGCUGGCGCGUGCGUGGCCCGAUUCUUCGACACGCCAAUGCGAUUUUUCGGAGCCGGAUUGUGGAAUCAAAUGCAGCCUGGAGCGGUUAAAUUAACCGCUAGGUAGGCAAACCUCGGGUCAUUCGACGAUUUUCGUAGCAAGUGAAAUUUCACUCGUAAAUCUCUUGCGAACGAAUUUUUAUUUUUCGCGGAAAACCUUUUAAACGGAUAACUUUAAAGCCGAUUGUACGAUGUAGUUAAAACUUCUGUAAGCAUUGCAGAAUUUCUACAGAUUUUCCAAGAGCUUAGCUUAACUCCGAGCGGUAGCUAUGGUGUGUGUAAUAAUAAUAGGGAAAAUGACGAGAAAGGACGACGGAGUAUACGAUGUUACUUUAGAACGUAGUUCGAACGAAAACGACGAUAACAUUAUUCCAUCUGGAAAGAUGUAAUCGUAGAUUGGCGAUUACUACUUGCAAUGUUUGAUCUGAGAGUUAUUAAGAUUGUCGAGCAGAGAUUGCAGAUAGGUACGGUCGGCUUGAUAUCAUUUGUAUGGUUUGAAUUAGGGUACGCUGGCGAGAUUGCUGAUAUAGAGUUUGGAAGGUGGAACAAAUGGAAACAACAGAACAAGAAGUCGUUGUUCAAAUUGCUCUAUAAAAUAGAGUCGUUUUAUUAUCUUGGACCGUGAAAUUCUCGUAUCUCUUUUGGUCUCUAUAUGUAUCAGUAUUCGCGUAUACGAUAACGAACAGAUUAUCACUGCGACAGAUCCUUCAUGUUCUCAACAGUGUACCCAAUUGUAAAGUUACGUUGUUAAAUAUUCCUAAAUAAAUUCUUUGAUAACUAUAGUCCGUAUCGAGACGGGUAUUUCGAUGAUCGAAGCGUAAACAAUUCUUUCGAACGCGCAACGAAUUCUAAAUUUCACGGCGCCAGGGAAAAAGGUGACCACUUUCCAGAGAAUUUAAUUAACAUGGCAUCGCGCGACUGACAAUUUACGGGCGUGCACUCGACUGCAUCAUUAGCGGGCCACUUUCGACCAAAGGACGACAGAUUUACGAGGUUCGUCGGCUGCGCCUACUCCAUUACCUGGCCGUCGAAAUCGCGGCACAACCCUCGACCCUUUGAUACGCGUGUAACAAUCACGCUGGGCGGAUCUUGCUCGCGCCUACAACUCGACCUGACCCCCUACGUUGAUCGAACGUUCAGGCAUUUACCCUCCGACAGUGAGUACGUAAUUCGCUUAUUGCUAAUAUAAAAGUCCUCCUCUACAAAUUGCAACUUCCGGGAAAUUUCAGCGAAGGGCGUAGGAGGGACUUGUGAUUUUUCAAUUUAACAAUUUAAUAAUAAUUAAACUAGAGAAGGUUUUUCCAUGUAUUUAUGGGAAAUGUAAGAACGCAAAGAUGCAGAGAAUGAGCAUGAUACGCGCAAAAGUAUAUAAAAUAUCCAAAGCAGUGCAACGGUUAUAAUUUUCCUUUCCUUUUCUAUAAUUCCUUUUGCUCGCAUUUGGGGGAAAUUUAAAAGUACAAACACGAACAGAACGCGCACAAUAUGCAGAAAUAUAGAAAAUGCUCUAAUUAACGAGUGAAAUAAACUUCUAUAAAAAUUCUCUAUUUCUUUAUUUGUAUUCAGAGAAAUCAAUAAUCUAGCGAUUAGAUUUAACCAAUGGUUUAACCAAUAAAGUUUACACGGAACGGAAACUGCUUUUCUAUUGAAAACAAAACUACACGCCUUACAGAAACGUCAAUUACUAUUUGAUCGUCCAGUUUCACGAGGAUUUUGCGCUUCAAAAGCACGUAUGAAGCGGAAUUAAAAGAGAUUAAGUCUAUGGAUCGCCGUCGGUAGAACGAAUAUAGAGGGAGGGGGUUGGCUAAAAAUAAGUAGCCACGGUAAUUAAAUCUGUCGACUGAAAACUCGGAGAACGUAAAUCUUCGCGCAUUCGUAGUGUAUUUCGCGACACAGUGCGCGGUUGCAGUUUUACGAGCUCGUAUAUACGUCUUAAGCCUGUGUAAUCCGGGAUCUUUGUUGGCGCAUACGACGUGCUCCGUCGGGUGGAAUUUCGAAAAAGACUCAACACGAUGAUGGAACACUGCGUACAUUCCCUGUUGGCAGUCUGGUGAGCGUCGUUCCCCGCGGAAUCUGACCUGCGUUCCCUACACGGGCUCCAGGUAUCGGCAUGACCCUGGAAUUAAGCGGUUCCACGCGAAGAAACCCGUUCAUCAGGGCGUCCCUUUGGGCUGGGCGUCUCUCUGUGAGAAAAGCCGGUCGACCAGCCUAGAAUCGUGCCUCGAAAUUCUUCGACCGCGAAACCAGCGCACGUAAGAACCAGCGAGGAAGCAACCUUGGGAACGAUUUUCGAUUUUUCGUCGAUUUGUUAGCUUGCGUAAUAUCUGUGUUUGCAUUGCUUUCUAUGCUACGUUAUUUACAUAAUUUUUCGAUUCGAUCGCGUUUCUCUCAUUACCAAUCGUAUUCACGUCGUCAUGCGAUUAUACUUCAAUGAGUUAGGCAUAAAGAAAUGAAAAUAUAGACAUUUGUUUCAACCUUUAAAUACUCUCACGUAUUUUACUUGCUAUAUUUUACCUACUUUUCUGUAGGUUAUCUAAUAAUCUGUCGAUUAUUUUUUUACUUACCAUACGCUUACCGUUUCUCAAUUGUUUGAUUUCAAAAAUGAAGAAUCCUCUAACGCUAAAGAUCGUACCGUCAAAAUCUCUAAAUAUUGUUAAAUAAAUAAAAAAAGUACGUAAAAAGUCUAGUUACCACUUUGCCACAAUUAGAACGACGAAAGAAAAAAGUCGGAGAGUUUGCAGCAAACUUUCAAAAAUUUCCGAAUCUAAAGUUCACCAGAUUUCAAAGACGAUUUUAAAGGUACCGAAGAGUUGCAUGUCGCGAGACUUUCUGUCUUCUGUCGAUAUUAUAAUAAGCACUUUCCGUGUGUAUCCAACUUUAGGUUGUUUCAGGAUCGCAAUUAAGGGCCGACGAUUAAGGUCGAUUCUCGUUCAAGUGGCGACAAUGAAACAAUAAUGCCUUCUCCGCGAUAGCCUCUCUAACUUCGUCCGCCGUCAUCGUUAUCAUCCAUUGUCAUUACCGUGACGAUUCUGGCCGUGCCAGCUCGCGAUCUCACGUGAGAUUCAUUAUCCAAUCUGUGGCGAACGCGCUGUGACACAGUUCACGGCGUUCCUCGAAAGUCUGCUGACGGUUCUGUACGCGUUUCGAAUCGUUGUACGUAGCUUGACCGGCGUAAUCACGCUUCCGGUGUUGCAUCGUGACACGGUCGUUGGUCUUACCACUUUGAGAAUCGUGUUCUCGAAAUGGCAGACAGUCCUGGGAUUUUUGAUAACAGAUACCAGCAGCUACAACAAAUUCAGACGCGAAAAUUGUUGACCGAAGAACGAAGAAAAGUUCUAUCGAAUCUUGUGGAAUUUCGAACAACGAGAAGAGAAAUUAAGAAGACAUGAUCCAUGUUUAAGUUCUGGAACAACUUCCACCUGAGAUAAACCAGUCUUGAAAGAAGAAUAAAUAUCUCACGAGAGCUGGUAAAUACACAGCAGAGGAGAGGACAAGCGUAAGAGAUCUUUCACUCGGAAAGUAUUCGAGUAAUCAACGAAAAAGCAUCUGUCGCGUGGAGGGUGGAAAUUCUAUUUGAGAAUAAUUGACAUUUCUACUAGAGCGUGGCAAUAGCGACGGGAAGGAUGAAGUUUUGUACCUCGUCUCUCGCGCUAAGUGUUUCUGUUUGACGAUAUCGCGCGGAAAGUGCGAGCGUUAUAGCACUCGCAAAGUGCAUGCUUCUGUCUUUGAAGUUUCACCGGGGUUGCAAUCUGAUAUUAAUGCACGCUCUAUAAUUAUUAAUCGACGAGACGCGCAACGAAGGAACAGAACCCUCAGCAACUAGUUCGUAAUUACCGUCAGCGCGUUUCUCAAUUAAGUAAUCCAACGUAAUGUCGAUUAUUAUGAGAUUCGACUUUUCGCGCGGACAUAAUUGUCUUUUCGAGUAACCGUAGCAAUUUCGACGUAAUUAAUUGCGGAUCAUCUAAUUCGUUUUCGCUAUUUCGUUGAAAUAAAUAAACUCACGGAUGUAUAUAAUUCAUUUUUUUGAAAUAAUGAACGCUAAUUAUUCGUUUAAAUAAUGAAAUUUAUUGAAACAAAAACAAAUGAUAAUAACUUCUUUUAUAUUCAAUUCCAUGAUUAAACUACAUUCUGCCAAAGUUAAGCAAGUAAACUACCUAUCUACUGACUAACAAUGACCACUUUUAAAUCUCAUUUAUGAGCAAGAUAUUUAUCAUGUAGCAUAAAGUUGCACUCCGUAAAAUUCUAUUUAAAAUCCAAUUAUGCCUCCCCCGCGAAACUUUUAAUCGCAAGCUCUAAACGUUGUAUUUACUAGGCAUACGUUACUUGGCAAGCGUAAGUGGCGCUGAAAAAAAAUUUCAAUUUCAAAUCGCACGCGAAGGAAACCGCUUACGACAAAGUUAAGGAUGAACAAAGCGCCCACAAGCGCAUUACACAAGUUACUACAGAAAGGUUCCAGUAGCUUGCUCCUGUUACUUUCUUUAUGGUACUUCUAAAUUAUCUAGCCCUUGCAAUUUUGAUACAAGAUACGUAUCAUACACGUUACUUUCUGGAAAUUUUCUAAUCGUAAUAUUAGAAUAUGCAAAUCAGGUUUUCUGAGGAAAUCUUAAUUCUACGAUACGAGAGUAUAUGAUUAGCGUUUCACUUUAUCAAAAACCGAACGAUUAGAAACUCUCGAUGGAUUACAUUAAUUCCACUUCUACGAAGUUUAAUUACAGGCACGUACCUACAAUUACUUAUCAAACGAUCGGUAAUUAACAAUGAUUACCACUAUCUAUGCUUCUUCAUCCGUAUAAAUAUCCAUCGACUAUGCUAAUAUACAACCGUCUAAUACAUUUCUUCUUAAAAAAGGAACAUGUCCCUUUAACUAAACAACUGUGUAUACGAUUCUAAUUGCUUUACAAAUUCCAAGCACAACGAUCGCUGUGCUCGGAAAUGAGAAAAACGCUGCUUAAUAAAUCUCAUAAGAAUAGCGUGACUCACGGUACACCAGGCGAAUCGUAUUCUUACUUCUAAAUCAUUGCACACUUACCUGAAACAGAGAAAAUACAACGAGUUUAGUUAAAUAGCACAAAGGAAGGUUUAUCCGUGUACGAUCAAGUUAAUUGGCAAAUUGCGAAGAGGGUCUUGUAGACGACGGGAUUCGAGAUAAACGCGUUCAAACGGGGCAAAUAGAGAUAACCCUCGAGAAGGAGCGAUACGCGGAGACUUGUACGGCGACCCGAAAAUUGUGACGCUAUCGGGACAGAUAAUUCGCAAACAUAAUAGGACGAACACGGUCGCGCGUUGGUCAGACCCGUCGCAUGGAAAUUAGAUUCGUCCGCGCACGCGAACCCACACACAUGGUUUUCCAACCGUGCAGAAAAUCGAUAUCGACCUAUCGUAUAACACACGCGCGCACACAUACACACACAUAAAAUCUUUCUCUCGCAUACUUUUCCUCUUUGGUGUUCCUACUCCCUCGAUGCUUCUUAACGAUGCUUUCGUGAAAUUGUGCUGCGAUCACGUGAUUUGAAAUUACGUCAAACAUUGACCGAAAAUCGUGAAACGAUCGACGAUCGAUUUUAUCAAUGAGAGUUCGUAUUUUAUUUUGAUAUUUGUGAUUACUUAAGCCGUAUUACUGUAACAAUUGAACAUUUUUCUUUGUCUUUGAAGAUAUUGAACAGUAAUAAUCGGGAGUUACAAGCUGAUGAAAGAAUUUGGUCGCUCGUAGACACCUUCUACGAAUAUAUUUUGAAACUUAUACAGCUUAUUAGCUGUAUUACGAGAGUCGGUUGUCAUGAUCAUGUUGCAUGACCAACUCCUUGUUCAUACUGCGAUAAACAUCGUAGAUUCAUCCUGCAAUAAACACCGUAAUCUGUUUCUCGUUCCUGAAUCAUCCCGAAGUUCGACCCUUUUUCCUCUUCGUUCCUUCCUGAUAAUUGUACCAAACAUAUUAAUCAUCCUCACCACUAGGCUAUGAGAACCACUUUUCCACGAUAGAUCAGCAGAGAAUUCUACAGUCGGUAUCAGCGUGCAGUUACCCGUUACGAAUAAAUCCUCUAAUUUUUCAACGUGUGUUGUCAAAUUUCCACCAUCCGAGAUCCAACAAUCAUAUCGAUAAAGUUUGAGACAAAUCUGAAGAUAUUACAAAUAACGUAAUAACGUAAAUUCUUAGGGCAAAUCAGACGAUUGAUUGUGGAAAAUCGAGUUAAUUUAGGGAAUAAUUAAAUUAAAUAUAAUAACAGUUAAUAAGAAAUCUACUAAAAAAAUUUUUUCUAAGUCCUAAAUUACCGUUCUCCUCUCGUGAUCUAUUGUAAUCAGCAAAUGACUGCCGGCAAAACAAAACAAAAGUAAAAGAUGUCGGUUGGAGGGUAGUUUGAAUUCUAUAAAAUUUACAAAUAUAUAUAGAAAUUACAAAAUAUUCAGUGCAUCGCGAAAAUAAUAAAAACAAUCAAUUAUUCGUUAUAUUAAUAAACUUCGAAAUUUUCACCUGUGUUCUAUGGCUAUUUAUGCCGUGUACUGAUAUUUUACAAAAUAUAUGUUUCCGAUAAUUGUUUCGUAAUUUCCAAAUUGAUCAAUUUCAGCAAUAUAGGGAUGGCGGUCGUGUCUCGUUAAAGUGGGAAUAAAAUUUCAACACGUACGAUAUAACAAAGACAAAAGUUGCCUACGGUAGUUGUUCAAACAGUUGUUGCCAGGCAAUAUGAAAUAUGCGCUUGUAGUCGAAGACUUCAUAAAGAAUAAAGUAGAUCAGUACGAUUUCCAAGAGUCGAAUACCAAAACCGAAAUAUUCCAGAAAUAAGAUAUAUCCGAAUGACCAGUUUAUUCGUACGCCACCGUUAAUAAGUUGAAACAAUUAAACAAUUUUGAGAGUUAUUUAGACGAAAGCAUAGCGUAUAAAAAUAUGAAGCGAGUCGAUAAAACGUUGAACGUCGAAAGGAAAACAUUUUAAUGCCUUUCGAAAUUGCUCCUGAAACCGUUGAAAAAAAAAACGGUCAUUGACUUUAACGUUCGACGUAUAACCGAAGUAGGGAACAAACGAACGAGGCGAUUGAAUUUUUAUCACGUCGCCGAUAUAUUGUCGUGGCUUUCACUGUUUUUGUUUUUAAUACGAUUCGAUGGAGUAUAUUAACGCGGCACGGCGUAUCCGCGGGAAAGCUGCGAGACCCCGAAUAUGGUUAAACCUUUUAAUGAAAUCGGUCGAGAGAAUAAUCGCGGAUCGGGGUGAAAUUUUUAUUCCGUGGAACGAUAUUAAUACAGAGUAGCUAUUGUGCUCGCGAUAUCAUUGGAUGCGUGUUCCAGGGAUUUACCGGUAGAAGUGUUAGUCAGUGGACGAACGUUGAACGAGGAUCGAUGCGUCCAUUAUUCAUUUCUAUUACAAUGUACAUACAAACGUUAAUAUUUUAUCAUCCCCUGUUUGAUUCCCGUUGUCCGAAUCAUCGGAGCCUCUGCUGGUUCAAAUUUUUCCACUAAAGAGUUAUUAACCCCUGCUAAUAAAUCGUGAACAGCCACGACAUUUUCAUCGCUCCGUCAAUUUAUUAUCAUCGUUAGACAGAGUUUAGUUUUUCGAAAAUUAAGAUCGUUUCAGUUGGAAUUAAUUUAUCUGAUUUUCCAAUUCGUCUGAGUUCGUAAUUGUAAGUAGACGUAGAUACAAAAAACAGAAGCAUCUUACGAAAUGGCCGAGGUAUUCUUUAAAAGGAUCUACAUAUGUUGUAGACAUUCCCACUAGUGGGAAUGUUGGAAGCAAUUAUUCACAGAACUAUCGGAAAUAGGAAAAACUUGUUUGAUUUGGAUGAGAAAAUACGAUAUUCGACUAAAAGUUUCUUCCACUGCCACAUUUCAAAACCAAUUUCAGUCUGUGAAAUGGGACUGCGUGUUUUUAUUAUCCCCUCCAGAUUCUCGUAAAUAAACCUACUUCGUUGUAGUGGCUAAAGUUUACUGUAUAAAAACUGUUUCAUCUUUCAACGCGCCAUGGUGUAGUUCCGCUUCGAUUUGUACGUGAAAACAUGCGUUCACGCUUGCGAAAAGAUUUAGCAGGAGCAAGCAAGCGGAAUCGAAGCUUAAUACGAGAAAAAGGAGACAAAGGAAAGGACAAAAAGGCUGGAAAUCUGAGAAAUACGAAAAAAAAAGAAGAAAAGCGAAAGCGGGAGGAAAUCGAGAGAAAGGAAGCAGGAAAUAAAAUAAAUGAAAAGGAAAGCAGGGUGGAAAUCUGAAAAGAGAAAAAAAAGGAAGCAAAAGACACGAGAUGAAAAAGAGAAAAUCCAAUAAAAGAAUAGAAAAGAAGAAAAGUGGAAGGAAAUCUGAGGAAAGCGGGAAAAAGGAAAAAGAACGGGGCAAAGGAAAGAAAAAAAAAGAAUAUAGAAGAAAAGGAAACUAAUAGAGAUACAGUGAAAGAAAAGAAAAAUGAGAGGAGAAAAAAAUGAGUAUCGAUUUUCAGCAAGAAAAAAGACAAAAAUCUGCGGACGUGGUACGAAAACUCGCCACUCCACGAACGAGCAUGAUAUCUAACCCGGUUACUGGUGACGACGAAAGGAUUUUCGUCUCGGUCAUCCACGUGGGAACGAUCACUUUAUUCCCUCCUUUUCGCGUGAAAACGAUUGAUACGGGCUCGUGUCCACCUCGGUAUCGCCGCCAGCUGCGCAACUUCGCUCGUAAAUUACAUUUGCGUUUUAAUAUCGGCGCAGUUAUAAAUCCUCAUAACGGUAACACCAAGUCCUUCCUUUUGGCUGUUUCGCGUUAAGCGGUUCGUCUUUUUCCAUCGAUACAACUGGACCACGUGUAUUGUCCGAGUUAAAAAGCUCGAUGAAUUUUUACGCCAUUUCCGCCGAGGAAAUUAAAGUCAAGUUCUGAAUAUCGGUAACUGUGAGCAAACGCGCUUAGUGGAUUUAUAGCAUUGUUCGUUUAUGUUCAUGUUAUGAUCCACUAAUUUUAGUCAAUGUAAUUUUCAUAAGAAAAUUAAGAUAUAAAUGAAUUAUUAAAGCAUUAAGAAAUUAUAAAUUAAAUUAAUUAUAAAUUGAUAAGCGAAAUAUCGUCGAUUUCGGAUUCUAAAUAACACGAGCACUCGCUACGUGAAAACCGAUCCAGAAAUUAUUGGUGAAAAUAACUCUACAUCCUACUCGGCAGUGUGAAAAUGCAUCUAUUAAAAGAGAAAUGCCGUGUAUAAAGAAUACUAUAUAGUCUCUCUCGUCGAGCGUGAGUGGAAAAACAGGAUGAAAAGAGGACUCUCUCUCUCUCGCUUCCCCAUCUGGAAAGAUGUCGGAAAAUAAUUUUUGUCCGUAUGAGAAGCUUCGCUUUUGAUAAAACCUACCAUUGAAAUCAGUGGUGAAACGUUGGUUAAAUUAACUGGCUUUUCCUUUCAUUCGCUGGUAAAUAAAAAUUCUUGGAAUUCGUAAAAGAGAGAAAGCUGAAUUGCUUUUGUAGCUGAGCGUGCUUUUAUAUCUCUAUCAAGGUUGUAGUUCAAGAGACAUAAUUUGCCGAGAGCUUUUGAGUAAUGACUCCGUUUUAUCGUUCAAAUUUUACCGUGUCUCUUCUACAUUCGGACAUAUUAUUCCAGAGGCCAUUCCAGAUGGCCUGCCACCGUUCCUCGUUUUUAUCGUCGACAAAUAAAAUAGCGACUCUGAACCUAAAGGGACUCGAUCUCCCCUGAGACCCAUAGGCAAACUUCUUAGGCUUUAUUGAGAAGUUUAUCAAUUUUUACGAUAUUUCUUCGAAUCAACGGCCGCAGUAGAUUAUCGUUGGCUCGGUCGUACAUCCAAUUGUUGGUAUUAUCGUGAGGCAAUUUGUUUUACUUGACACGUUCAGCCUUUGUGUUGCUUAUAUGCAACGUUUUAACAAGUUAUUACCUUGUUAUCAUAUUGUUGCGACUACUCGUGUGACACAGCGUAUCAAUCCGAAUAUUCUAGCAAAAAUUAAAAAACCGCUCGAUUCUAGUAAAAUUUCACUUGACUUAUCGAUCACAAAUUAAUAUUUUCCAAGUUCCAUCGAUCCUAUUAAAAAUUCCCUAUUUGAAUUUCAGCAAAUUUUUCUUCAUCAGCCGCAAAAAUUUGAUAUUCCAAUCCUAUUCGAAUCGAACCGAAUGAAUAAACUUUCUUCGGAAUAUCGUAGUUGGAAAAGGUACCUAUCAUUUGUGAGAGGAGAGGAGGAGAGAUAGCCCGCAGAGAUGACCUCUGUCAUUAUCUUGAAGCGCGUUCAGAGACGAAUGCAGUCUCUGCCGUUUCCGUUCUGCGUUCUCAACUCUUCUACCCUUUCUUCUCCCUUCCUGAUAUUUCAGCCUCCCUCCACUACGUUCAUGGAACAAGUAUAAUGAACGAGGCACACCAACAUGCAGGAGAAAGAGAGAGAGAUUUCGUAUACGAGGCUGCGAGAUCGAUACUCGUGGCUUUCUGCGAGAAACGCGCAGCGAGAAAAGCUUCUGGAAAUGCGAAAACGCUGACUGCGGCUGUACGGAAAGCUGCCCUUCUUACUUUUCCUUCUUUCUUACUUUUAUAUCGAUAUGCAAGCGUCGGGAGAUCUUACAGAGGAAAAGAAAAAAUCUACUUGUCACGAUACGUAGAUCAAAAUUUGCGAUACUCGAGAUUAUUAUUCGUAGUGAAUUAUUUUUAGAAAAUAAUUCGAAAAUCGUAAGACACUUGCAAGCGAAGUUUUUCUAUAUGGACGUGUUUACUCGAGGAUCGUGUGUUUGUGAAUACGUAGGUACAGAACAGAGAGGACAUGAAUCUGGGUUAGGUAGGCUCGAAGACUUUCAGCAUGCGGCAGGUGAAGAAAGAAUUUCCGAGAAAACCUUGAGACCAUCGUCAAAGUACAAUCGCAGUCGUUCGCGGACUCUGGCCCUUGUUUGCGAGUUGUAUAUUUCCAGCUGCACCGAAUAAAAUGCUGCCACAGCGGAUCAAGUUGGACCGCAUAGAUCGGACGAUGUUGGAUAAGUCACGCACUUCGAAUUCUCUCAAGUUCCAAUAAAAAGUUCAAGCGACUGCAAAAGGCAAACCAAGGAAACACUGUAACUAUGCGGCGACGUUAGAUGAACAAAGAGCCAAGGAAAAUUCGCGAGGACGCGUGCAGACGAGGGAACGGUGUCAAGUUCCCGGCUGAACAUCGAAAAUACUCGCGACAAGUGGUACUUAACUCUGCAAAGUAAGGGACAAAGCGGAGCUAGGCGCGAGGACGGUUCUACGAGAGCGGAAAGCGAGCUUUAGAAAGUCUAGGAUGAUGAUUCAACCAACAGAAACAGGACCAGUUCGCUGUGUGCGUGAGAGAAACUGGAGGGGGUUGAUAUGAAUAACGCAUCUUUGUCUCAAGACGUUCAUCCGAAGAGAUGAACGAAAAAUUAACAAAGAGACCUAACGAUGACGACGCUUUAGUAUUCGAAGAUCGGUUUAAAAAAUUGAUGGACGAAGAGCGCAGUAAAUACAAGUUCGUUGGUCGGUUUCUUAACUCUUAGAAUUAUCAGAGUUCGCAAAAUAAACAAUUUUUCUUGAUUUUAAUUAAGAAUUUUAUUUCGUAAGAUGAUUUAAUCUACAUUUAGUUUAGUGAAUAUUUUGCAGUUUUAAAUAAUUUUAAUUUUCAUAUAAAAGAUUACAGAAAUUUUCUGUAGGCACAAUUUUUCUGAAUUUUAAUUACGAAUUUUACUUAAUAAAAUUAUUUACUUUAAAUUUAUUUCAUAUUUCAAAUUUUAAUUAAUCUUUAUUCCUAUAAACGAUUGUCCGGUAUGGAAAAAGGUUUGCAAAUUCCAAGAGCUUGGAAGCUUUAUUCUUUAAUCGCCAGUGGCUCGAAUAGUAAGAGAAUUCGACAAAGUCGAAAAGAAAUUUUAGAUUAUGCGUGGGACCCAAAGUGGUAAGCUCUCAUAUGGGACUGAUUGAUGGGCGAGUAUAAUCCAAUCUGACUGCGGGAAGAUUAUUAGUGUACCUUGUUCAAAGGGAGUCGUGAAACUUGGAGAGUUGCUGGGUUAUGCUAAACCUAGAACUGAAUUCAAUGAAUUGAAUUACGAGGUGACGCGGUUCUUCUCGUAAAGCCUGACACUAGAGAAGUGCAUGAGCGGGACUAGAUCAAUAAAGAUUCUUCUUCAGAAAGUAUUAUCCACAUAACCCAACUUAAAAUAUCGAAGCAUCAUCUUUUAUGAAUAAGUAAAUUCACUUAGAAUGCCAACCUAAUUAAGAAUAGCUACGGUAAUGUUGCAUAUUUCAUUUGGUAUGCAAUGGAGUCUCGAUUAUCGCAGUCCCAUUUAACCAAAGCUGCAUAUUAUCGCAGGCCUUUUGUACUUUACCACAAGUUCAUCUUUUUCGAAAUUUUAACAAGAGGACUAUGAAAGUGUAAACAGUGAGAUAUGGAAGUAGUGGAAGCAAUUAAUCAAACUUUCAACCGAUCAAAUAACUGAUUAAAACUAAAUACAUCUACAACAUUACAUUAUCAAUAUGUUUCCUAUGAUUGUACACUUAUGUACAUUUAUGGACACUAACCGACCUUACCGUAUUAUCCGAGUUUUCGAUUAUCCAAGAUAAGCCCGGGCCAUAUCACCUCGGAUAAUCGAGACUCUGCUGCGUUUAUUUGCACACAUGACGCCUUCGAAUGACUAUAAUCUCUAAAUAGUUUCGCUCCUUAUUCCGAAAAUAACUGAGUCACUAUAUCCUAACAUUUUCGAAGCAUUGAAAUUUCUACUAUUUUCCCUCGAACUCUUCACUUCCAAACGUCAAACAACGUGAAUAACUGUAUCAACAAUGAGUAUAAGGAUACCAACAAUCCAACGAAGUUCUCUAACAAUGUAUCUGAAUUUGUUGUACUUUCGCUAAACUAAAAAUCGUACUACGUAUAUGGGACAAGCGUGGCCCACAUAUAUCAAGGCGACCAAUAGAAAAAUAUCAAGUAGCGACAAAAGAAUAAAAAGAUAAGCAUCCGUACGUCGUCUGAAGGCACACGUUCCAGUACACGUUUCGAAGAUCGAAAGCUGGAAAGAAUGAAAAGAGGUGGUCGCGUCGAUACGUCGGAACCUUGAAGAGAGCCAGCGACAGCGAAGAUGUGAAGACGACGCGAAACGAAGUGAGAAAAGAGAGCUGGUAUACGAAAGGAUAGACAGAGAGGAGAGAUACGAGGGGUGCCUUCGGUGGAUGGAAACUGCAGGCUGCGUGGGUGGAACGGGGAAACGAGGGGUAAAGGGAGGAUAGCAGAGCAUCAGGGGCGGAUGCGUGGGUGUUCCUGGGCCCCAGAUGACUUAAAGAGAAGCUGCGACUAGCCCGGACCGAUCGAUAUCUGCACCGACAUUGCCACCGCGACGACACGUCGCGGGGUUUUCCCGUCUGGAAUUUCUUCCCCUCUAGCCAACAGAGACUGCAACGAUACUGCUGUAGUCCCGUGGGAACACGAGGAUAUUUUUACGAAGAUAGGGAUCGUUCUUAAGACGAAGGAAAUUACUGCGAGACGUCGAGUGUUGCUCGACACCUGCCCAGCUUUUAAUCCAAGUUGAGGGAACCUUAUAACUCCUGGCAGAUAAGAGAACGUAGGUUGAAAUCGAAGAAAUGGUGAAUUCUAUUUGACGGAGGAAAUUCUCUGCGGCGAAUUUCUCCGCUAGACGAAACGAAACGGGGGGAGGGAUUUCGAGUCGCCUUGAAACGCAAAGUACUGGUUAGAGACGCAACUUUUUCGCAGACAGCCCGACGAGUUCAUCGACUACCGUCGGUACCGUCGACGAAGUUACGCCGUUCUGGGAGGGCGAAACUAAAGUUAAACUGGCGCGAAUGCGGCGAACAACUCUUGCCUCAGCUUCGUCUCCCUUGUCUACGCGACUCCGUAGUCGAUUAGGCUGCUGUUCUUGCCUUUGACUUUCGCUAUUUCUCCCGACUCAAUGAACCCAUUACAGUCAUCGUUGUUGUGCACCGUUUUUGUUUCGUGUUUGUAUUAUGAAAACACGACAGAUUAUUAAGUAGGAGAAGAACGUAAGAUGGGACGAUAGAGAAUCUGCGUAAAGAAAUUUGGAUAAAAUAUAUUCGAUGGUGAUAUCAAUUUUUUCAACCAUCUUUCUUCCUCAAAUAUUUCCAUCUUUUGGUAGAUCAUUUUAUAUAUUCCUUUAAAUAUCGACAAUUUUUACGUUCCUAUGUAAUUUUCUUUUUUCCUAUACAAUUUGAACUUUUUUAGUUUUACGUGUAUAAACGUAUAUCUCUUUUGAGGUUCAGCGAAGCAUAAUUCGUUAAAAAUCACACGUUUUAUAUAUCAAAGUCCAAUAGAUGUUUUGAUUAUUUUUUAUUACUUGUAACUCUCACAUAUUAUUUUUCCAACUGAAUUUAUCCUUUGAUAUCAAGUUGAUACAAUAAUAAACAACUGAUACAACGAAAAAGGAAACGUUGAUAUAACUUAAUACAUUUUUCUGUCAAAAAUAAAAGAACGAGGUAAUUUGCAUUGUCCAUGAAUAAUAAAGUACCGCGUACCUCACAUUUAUCUGCGAUAUAAAAAUGUAAAGCAAGUAGUAAGAUGGAUAAGUAUUAAUUAUGUUUCUCUACCUUCGCGAUUCAAACCUGUAGGUAUAUUUCUUCCUACAAAAUCACAUUUGGCCAUUUCUACGGAGCAAAUAUACCACUCGUGUAAUCUCACGUAUAAAUCGCUCAUACAUGACUUUAACUAUUCGCAGAGGAUAUUCCAUUUUUACUCAUAGAGUUCUCAUAACGUCGUUGAUAGAACCGCAAUGUAUGAAACGCGUUGUUCGCGAACGUUCGUUUAUGAUCAAUAAACGGCUCGCGAGGAUUUACCGUUUUUCCCUGGCGCCACCUAAAUCGCACGGACGAGAAACUGUAAACUCAAACGAGCAUCGCAAGCGUUUUUGUCACGGAUAUAUUUAGGAGGUGUGCUCUAUCCGUUUCUUUCGUUCUACUCUUUAUUCAUUUAUUUACGAAGAAAAAAACCUAUUAGCAAUAAGAAAUCCAGGCCAUAAUCGGUAUCAAAUUACACAAUAAAACGUACAAUGUUUGCUAAUUUACCUCCGUGGUAUCACGAACGUUUAUCCACGGUAAUUAAACCAACGAUUAAAAUCAUUUUCUCCAAUAAUCCUAAGAAUUUACGACUUUGAGACUCAUCGCGUUAUUCGAAAAAAUCGUUCCACGUAUUGUAGUAUCAUGUUCUAUAGUAAACUGUAUUUUCUAGUUCGUCGAUAAUUCGCGGUACAGUUUUCCAGAGGGGAGGUGACCCCUUAUCGGCCUUUCGAUUGCGUCAAUUAAUUAAUUUUAAUUACUUCGCACGGUGGCGUGCGUCAGCUGUGUGAAAUAGAAUUAAUCGCGUUUUAUCGGUGGAAGUCGAACGGUAAUCGAAGCGAUUCGCGGGGAAACGCGAGCAAUAUUCAAUCCUGGAGGAUUAAUCAGGGUCCGAUAUUCGAUCUUUCCGAGCGAUCGGUCGAUAUUUCGCUUUUAUACAAAGCCGUUUCGCAUCGGCGUUUCAUUUUCAGACCAAACUUUCCCCUCGAUCGAUACAAUUUUCCCUGACCUGCCCUCGUAUUAUUGAGAAAUUUCAAUUUAACCCAUUAAAGGCUAGAUAAUAGUCUACAUAAUGUCGUACGUGCUUCGAUUUCUCUAAAUGUCAUAAAAUUGUCGAAUACAGAUUCCAGGAAUAACGAGGAAAAAGAUUAGUAGAAUUCACGUUGCACAGCGAGGAAAUCUUUUAAUCGUAACUUUUUACCGUUGCAAACGUGUAGGUCCCUUUGGAAUCUCUGAUUUAUGAUGCGCCAUUAAGGGAUUAACAGCUAGACACGAAUAUGUAAGAGCCGUGAUUAAACAAUACAAAUUGCACUGCAGGCAACAUGAAGGCAGACAAACUAAGCGAACAACG